rnacentral:misc_RNA from 1 species
UUUGGAAUAGAUUUGAAGGCUUUAGAGAAUUUUCUCUAAUCCUUUGAAAUAAAGUUUGUUGGUGAUUGAUUUGGUCACUACCAUGUGCUAAAGGCUUUAUGUCUUGUCAUGUUAAUGAUCAUAGUCAACCCAUUGCAAACUCGCUUUGCAAAAUUACCUUUAAUGGUCUCAAAUCAGGCAAGACUACCCGCUGAACUUAA